rnacentral:rRNA from 1 species
UAAUUCUGCACCUAAAAUGAACAAUAAAAUAUUUUUUUAUCGAAGUAAUGGGAUCUAUUAACUAAAAUAGAUCGGUAGGGGAGCGUUCUACAUUAAAAUAAAGCAAAGUUAUUAAAUUUUGUGAAUAAAGUAGAAGUGAGAAUGUCGGUUUAAGUAACGUUAAAUAUUAAGAAGAAUCUAAUACCUCAAAAACUCAAAAGGUUCCUAUGAAAGGGUACACCGCAUAGGGUUAGUCGGGGCCUAAGAUAAGAAAUUUAUUGUAAUCGAUGGGAAUCAAGUUAAUAUUCUUGAACCAUAUUUAAUAGAUAUACAAGUAGUGACCUGAAUAUAAAUUUUAGGUAUUAAAAUAAUAAAUGAUUUUUUACUUAAAAUUAAAAUUUAUGCUAGAAAAAUGAUAUUGUAUAAUUAUAAAUAUGCCCGUACUAAAACUGACACAAGUGAGUAGGUACUGUAAUGUACUAAGAGGACGAAAUAAAUUUCUUUAAGGAACUCGGCAAAACAAUCCCUGUAACUUCGGGAUAAAGGAUGCCCUAUAAGGCUGCAAUUAAAAAGUUCAAGGGACUGUUUAUCAAAAACACAGGUAUCCGCAAAAUGUAAUUAUGAAGUAAGGAUACUGACACCUGCCCAGUGGUAGUAAGUUAAAAAAAAUUUUUAUGUAAUACAGAUAAUUUUUUUAUAAGCUCUAGUAAACGGCGGCUGUAACUAUAACGGUCCUAAGGUAGCGAAAUUCAUUGUCGGGUAAGUUCCGACCCGCACGAAAGGUGUAACGACUUGAACACUGUCUUUAAGAAAUAUUCGGUGAAAUAGAAAUGUUUGUAAAGAUACAAACUUUUUACAUCAGGACAGACAGACCCUUUGAAGCUUUACUGCAAUUUGAAAUUGAUAUUAAACUUUAUUGAUAUAGUGUAAGUGGGAAGUUUAUAAUACUAAUGAAACACCACCUUAAUAAAUUUUAAUUUCUAAACAUAAUUCUUUUUAUCAUAUGAGAUAAAAAUUUCUAAAAAGUAGUUCGACUGGGGCGGUUGCCUCCUAAAGUGUCAUCGGAGGUGCACAAAGGUGUUUCCUUUUAAUUCCUAUAUAAUAUUGAGAUUUAUACAUGUGAGGGUUAAAUAGUAAAAAGGCUUGAUUGUGAGAGUGACUACUUAAACAAGGACGAAAGUCGGUCUUAGUGAUCCCGACAACUGCUAAGUGGUAGG